AUUGAACGCUGGCGGCAGGCCUAACACAUGCAAGUCGAGCGAGCGGCGGACGGGUGAGUAAUGUAUGGGGACUGCCCGAUAGAGGGGGAUAACUACUGGAAACGGUGGCUAAUACCGCAUACUAUCGGAUAACCCAUAUGGGAUUCGCUAGUAGGUGGGGUAAAGGCUCACCUAGGCGACGAUCUCUAGCUGGUAUGAGAGGAUGAUGAGCCACACUGGGAGUAAGAAACGGCCCAGACUCCUACGGAGGGAGCAGUGGGGAAGAUUGCACAAUGGGCGAAAGCCUGAUGCAGAAAUGCAGCGUGUAUGAAGAAGGCCUUAGGGUUGUAAAGUACUUUCAGCGGGGAGGCGUUACCCGCAGAAGAAGCACCGGCUAACUCCGUGCCAGCAGCCGCGGUAAUAA
rnacentral:rRNA from 1 species